rnacentral:RNase_MRP_RNA from 15 species
AACUUACCAAGGUGAAGGUCCCCGGUCAGAAGGGCGGAAAGGACGACAAGUGAAGAAAGC